AAAGAUCGAAUGGGGAGAUUCAUCGUCAGCCGCUUUGGCUUCCGUGUGAACGCGAUGAUCGGGGCUUCGGCUCUGCGUCACGCGUUUGCUGCGGCAUGUCUGGAGUGGUCGGCGUGCACUUCUCCCCUAGUAGGACGUCGCGAUUCGUUGGGUGUCGGUUUACGGACCGGUAGGUCGCCUGGCGUAUCUCGUUCACGCGAGUUUGUGUCAGACCUCUGGAUUCCCAACCGGCUGCCCGGCGGUAUAAAACGAUAAUUAAACGGUAUUGGGCCGCAUUGAAUGCGUUCAGGCUCGUAGGCAGGCUUGUCUCGCUCGGAUUUACGGACCUAGUGCCGUUGCCGGGUGCUUGGCGAACUGUGGCUUGCGAUGUCCUCGGACUGGCUCUUGAAUAUUCUUACGAAUAUACCGAUCGGCGACGCUACUGCUUUGGGUACUUUCAGGACCCGUCUUGAAA
rnacentral:rRNA from 1 species